CAACAGGGAUUGCCUCAGUAACGGCGAGUGAAGCGGCAACAGCUCAAAUUUGAAAUCUGGCCCCGUCGGGGCCCGAGUUGUAAUUUGUAGAGAGUGUUUCGGGGGAGACCACGGUCUAAGUCUAUUGGAACAUGGCGUCAUAGAGGGUGAGAAUCCCGUACGUGACCGUGGCUCGAGCCCAUGUGAAGCCUCUUCGACGAGUCGAGUUGUUUGGGAAUGCAGCUCAAAAUGGGUGGUAAAUUUCAUCUAAAGCUAAAUACUGGCUGGAGACCGAUAGCGCACAAGUAGAGUGAUCGAAAGAUGAAAAGCACUUUGGAAAGAGAGUCAAAAAGUACGUGAAAUUGUUGAAAGGGAAGCGCUUGCAACCAGACCUGUCCGUAGGUGAUCAGCCGCUGUUCUCAGCGGUGCACUCGCUCUGCGAUCAGGCCAGCAUCGGUUUCGGCGGUCGGAUAAAGGCCUUGGGAAUGUAGCUUCCUUCGGGGAGUCUUAUAGCCCUCGGUGCAAUGCGGCCAGCCGGGACCGAGGACCGCGCUUCGGCUAGGAUGCUGGCGUAAUGGUUGUAAGCGACCCGUCUUGAAACACGGACCAAGGAGUCUAACAUCUAUGCGAGUGUUUGGGUGUCAAACCCAUGCGCGGAAUGAAAGUGAACGGAGGUGAGACCCCUUUAGGGCGCAUCAUCGACCGAUCCAGAUGUCUUCGGAUGGAUUUGAGUAUGAGCAUAGCUGUUGGGACCCGAAAGGUAAGCACUUCUCUCCCUUAACAUCUAGAUUGUUUUUAUACUAACAUAUUCGAAAGAUGGUGAACUAUGCCUGAAUAGGGUGAAGCCAGAGGAAACUCUGGUGGAGGCUCGCAGCGGUUCUGACGUGCAAAUCGAUCGUCAAAUUUGGGUAUAGGGGUCAGUCUCAAGUUUUCCGUUCC
rnacentral:rRNA from 1 species